rnacentral:tRNA from 1 species
GCGCCCGUAGCUCAGCUGGAUAGAGCGGCGGCCUCCGGAGCCGUAGGUCGGAGGUUCGAAUCCUCUCGGGCGCGCCA